CGCCACGGCCACCCGGUACCUGUGCCCGGAGCCAUACCCGAAGACGAACAUGGAGUUUCUAGGUCUGUGCAAUGCACUAUGGCUGGUGGUCUGUGGGAGCUUCCCAAGAACAGAUCUUGGAUACGGUUGUCUUGGAGUUUUGGCUAUUCGUGGACACCCCUUCCCUUUGAUGCUCUAGUAUUAGCUAGUUUUGUGGCCUUGUUAGUAUUUCUUAGCUUGGCAUUCAAUGCCCUGUACAAAAUACACUCAGAUGUUGAUGCUGAUCUCAUGAUGUAUCCAGUUUCCAAACAAAAUUUUCUCACUGCAC
rnacentral:lncRNA from 1 species